rnacentral:rRNA from 1 species
UACGUACGAGGCGAGCGUUAUCCGGAAUUACUGGGCGUAAAGCGCGCGCAGGUGGUUCUUUAAGUAGGGCGUGAAAUCUCCCGGCCUAACUGGGAGGGGUCGCUCUAGACUGGGGGACUUGAGGCUGGCAGAGGUAGGUGGAAUUCCUGGUGUAGUGGUGAAAUGCGUAGAGAUCAGGAGGAACACCGGUGGCGAAGGCGGCCUACUGGGCCAGCACUGACGCUGAGGCGCGAAAGCUCGGGGAGCGAACGGG